rnacentral:rRNA from 1 species
AUUCCAGCUCCAAUAGCGUAUAUUAAAGUUGUUGCAGUUAAAAAGCUCGUAGUCGGAUUACGGGUCGGGCCGAGCGGUCUGCCGAUGGGUAUGCACUGUUUGGCGCGGCCUUCUUUCCGGAGACCGCGGCUACUCUUAACUGAGCGGGCGUGGGAGACGGAUCGUUUACUUUGAAAAAAUCAGAGUGUUUCUAGCAGGCAGCUCGCUCUUGCAUAGGUUAGCAUGGGAUAAUUUAAUAGGACUCUGGUGCUAUUUUGUUGGUUUCGAACACCGGAGUAAUGAUUAAAAGGGGCAGUCAGGGGCACUCGUAUUCCGUCGAGAGAGGUGAAAUUCUCAGACCAAUGGAAGACGAACCACUGCGAAAGCAUUUGCCAGGGAUGUUUUCAUCA